UUACUAGCUAAUUAGGCACGUUCCUGGGCGCAUACUGUGCGCAGGCGCAAUGCUAGAGGCUAAGUAGGUAGAAUUAGGCUCCUGACCCCAAUUUUCUCAAUCAAGAGGUGAGCGUGAGUGUUGGAGGACCGGAGGGACUGUCACCCAGUAAUCACCGUAUCUUAAUACUUUUAAACCAUAUCAGUACGUGAUUAGGCAUCGUGGGAAGCACCAUGAGGCUAAGUAAAGAGAGUUAUGAGAAAUUAAUGGGACCCUGGUGUCUGCAGAGGAGCAAGGAGGGUUGGAGCCUUCUUGGGCGGAUUGAGUUUGUGCAUUGUGAGAGUGAAGAGGUCUUGUUCCAGAAGGGUGUGGGGAUGAACAAGGAAUAUGACAGGUACCUUGGUCGUAAGUUUGGAUUUUUGUCUUGAGCAUGGGAAGCUAUUUUCUUCGGGGAAAUGAAAAGGAAUUUGGGUCUCUCCAAGGCCGCUGGCUUUCAGGAUUAGAAAAUAUGGAGGCUCGACUCGGGAUGAGAGACCUGCUAAGCAAUCUGAACAGCUUUCCAGACACAAAGUUACCGUGACUCAGACAGGGAGCUAGAAGAGAUCCUAUCAGACUGGAUGUGGGUCAACAGUGAGGCACAGGCAUUGGUCCUAACUACGAAGGGGUGAGGAGCUCUUGGCCAAAGUAGAAAAACCUGAAGAAAGACAGACUGCAGGGGACAGUCAGGAGUGUGACUGAGAAGUUGUAGCUGUAGCUAGACCGGCUGCUGGGGCUUCCGCGGCAAGUGGGUCAUGGUGUUGGUGAGAAGUCAGGGGAUGGAAGGAAGGAAGGAAAGUGGGCAAUGAUGGUCUAGGGAGGAGCCACGAAAAGAGCUGGAGAAACGGGGAUGCAGUGAGCAGACUUGACUGUCUCGACGGCCACAGUCUGGUCUGUAAAGCAGGAAUUCAGUUAGGAAGAAAUACUCUGUGGGGCUGGCGGCUGCUGACUCCUGUGGGAGACAAAGGACACCUUGGGUUUGGGAAUGAGAUGGGUUUGUAGCCUGUGUUCUUUAUGUUGCAAGUUUAUAUAUAUUUAUAGAUAGAUAGAUAGAUAGUAAAUUACUGUCUUAAAAAGGAAAUGGGCGGCAGAUGGAGCUGCUCAGCAGUGUCACGGAGGACAUGGGUUUGUUCCAUCUCUCUGUUGUCCUUCAGGUGCUUUCAUGCUCAUAAGAUGCCUAUCCUAGUUCCAAGUGUCCCGUCGGAGCUAAGACAAUGUUCAUUCUUCUCUUAGUUGAGACCACAGCAGGCCUAUGACCUCUUGUUUAGUUGCUUAUGAGCCCAUAAUGAUCAGUGUACCUGUCCCUGGUACUCCUGUCAUCAACAGAAGGAAACCGCAAGCCAGGAAGCUCUUGAUUGGAUGAGGAGAGGACUGCCAGGGGCAGGGCAACUAACAUUCCCGUGUACGGCUGGUGGUGCAACCCCUCGAGAACACUCAGCGUCUCCUGGUUCUCAUCACACCCCUGUGCUGUGCCAAGAGUCUCCACUCCCGUGGACCGUCUGGGGCUCCCUGGAGACCUGUGCAGUGUCCAUCCAGAGGAGAAUGGACUCUCCAUGGUGUGGUGCUCAGUCUGUGGGAUACAUUUGGCACUUGCUAGCCAUAACUUCUGCAUGGGAGGUUCAAAAUGUUUCUAAAACAUUUGGAAGGAAACAUUGCAUCGGUGUCUUCCAAGAGUCCUCGUCUGGAGACGGCCGGGUCCCUGUAACAGAACAGCCAAGCAGCCGGAGUCAAAACACUGUCCUGAGAACCGCUACAAGAGUAACUAUUCCCUACAUAUGUUCCUAUGUUUACCCCAUGAUGAAGAGAGUUCAGCCCACGAGAGAAAUCACAGUUGGAACCCCCGCAGACUGCUUCCGCCUCCGGUCGCUUUCAGCUGGAAGUUUUGAUGUCUAGCUGGAUCUACUGUUUUUUUUUUUUGUUUGUUUGUUUGUUUCUUUCUUUUCCUUUUGCUAUAUUCUAAGGUGUAUCCGAAAGCAUGGCUAUGGAAGGUCUUCUUCAGACCACCUCAAACACAAUCAAAGACUAAGUUCCACACUUUC